UACGGGGGGGGGCAAGCGUUGUUCGGAAUUACUGGGCGUAAAGGGCUCGUAGGUGGCCAACUAAGUCAGACGUGAAAUCCCCAGGCUCAACUUGGGAACUGCGUCUGAUACUGGAUGGCUUGAAUUCGGGAGAGGGAUGCAGAAUUCCAGGUGUAGCGGUGAAAUGCGUAGAUAUCUGGAGGAAUACCGGUGGCGAAGGCGGCAUCCUGGACCGAGAUUGACACUGAGUGAGCGAAAGCCAGGGGAGCAAACGGG
rnacentral:rRNA from 1 species